GGGGAUGUAGCUCAUAUGGUAGAGUGUGCCGUUCGCAACGGCAAGGUACGGGGAUCGAUGCCCCGCUUCUCCA
rnacentral:tRNA from 1 species